GCCUCCGUGGCGCACUCGGCUAGCGCGUUCGGCUGUUAACCGAAAGGUUGGUGGUUCGAGCCCACCCGGCUGCG
rnacentral:tRNA from 1 species